CUGACGCUGAGGCACGAAAAGCAUGGGUAGCAAACAGGAUUAGAUACCCUGGUAGUCCAUGCCGUAAACGAUGAUUACUAGGUGUGGGGGGAUUGACCCCUUCCGUGCCGCAGUUAACACAAUAAGUAAUCCACCUGGGGAGUACGGCCGCAAGGUUGAAACUCAAAGGAAUUGACGGGGGCCCGCACAAGCAGUGGAGUAUGUGGUUUAAUUCGAAGCAACGCGAAGAACCCUACCAGGUCUUGACAUCGAGUGACGUAUCCAGAGAUGGAUAUUCCCUACGGGGCACGAAGACAGGUGGUGCAUGGUUGUCGUCAGCUCGUGUCGUGAGAUGUUGGGUUAAGUCCCGCAACGAGCGCAACCCUUGCUGUUAGUUGCUACGCAAGAGCACUCUAACAGGACUGCCGUUGAUAAAACGGAGGAAGGUGGGGACGACGUCAAAUCAUCAUGCCCCUUAUGACCUGGGCUACACACGUACUACAAUGGCCGUAAACAAAGGGAAGCAAAGGAGCGAUCCGGAGCAAACCCCCAAAAACGGUCCCAGUUCAGAUUGUAGGCUGCAACCCGCCUACAUGAAGUUGGAAUUGCUAGUAAUCGCAGA
rnacentral:rRNA from 1 species